rnacentral:rRNA from 1 species
GACAGAGGGUGCAAACGUUGUUCGGAAUUACUGGGCGUAAAGCGCGUGUAGGCUGCUCUGCAAGUCGGAUGUGAAAGCCCUGGGCUCAACCUAGGAAGUGCACUCGAAACUGCAGAGCUCGAGUCUCGGAGAGGAUCGCGGAAUUCUCGGUGUAGAGGUGAAAUUCGUAGAUAUCGAGAGGAACACCGGUGGCGAAGGCGGCGAUCUGGACGAUGACUGACGCUGAGACGCGAAAGCGUGGGGAGCGAACAGG